AGCGAGCAGAGGUGAUGCAGAGAGUUGGCAGCGCUUGUCCCAGGGGCAGUGGGGGCAGCUGGAGGCAGCGCCGGCGGCCGGGACCCUCCCCACACCCCUCAGGUCCCGGAGGGGCGGCAGAACGGAUGGGGUGCACACAUCCUGGCGGCCUGAAUCCAGAAAGAAGAGGGACAUCGAAGCAUCCCAGAUAUACGGAGAGAAAAUGGCUGCUUCUCUGCUAUUCUGUUCCUCCCUUCACAGUCUUGCCAGCCCUGCAGUGACACAAUUCACUGUUGCUGUGCCCUGCUAUAGUCAUGUAUACACACCUGCAGGAAACC